rnacentral:tRNA from 1 species
GCUCGAGCGCCUGGCGGAAGAGCGCCCGUCGGUGGUGUUGUCCGACAUCGAGAUGCCACGGAUGGAUGGCUUCGACCUGGUGCGC